GCGUCGGUGGUAUAGCGGUUAGGACGCUUGUCUACCAUGCACAUGGUCCGUGGUUCGAUUCCCGGCCGACGCA
rfam:Trichobilharzia regenti genome assembly, scaffold: TRE_scaffold0056252